GAUGAACGCUGGCGGCGUGCCUAAUACAUGCAAGUCGAGCGAACAGACGAGGAGCUUGCUCCUCUGACGUUAGCGGCGGACGGGUGAGUAACACGUGGAUAACCUACCUAUAAGACUGGGAUAACUUCGGGAAACCGGAGCUAAUACCGGAUAAUAUAUUGAACCGCAUGGUUCAAUAGUGAAAGACGGUUUUGCUGUCACUUAUAGAUGGAUCCGCGCCGCAUUAGCUAGUUGGUAAGGUAACGGCUUACCAAGGCGACGAGGCGUAGCCGACCUGAGAGGGUGAUCGGCCACACUGGAACUGAGACACGGUCCAGACUCCUACGGGAGGCAGCAGUAGGGAAUCUUCCGCAAUGGGCGAAAGCCUGACGGAGCAACGCCGCGUGAGUGAUGAAGGUCUUCGGAUCGUAAAGCUCUGUUAUUAGGGAAGAACAAAUGUGUAAGUAACUAUGCACGUCUUGACGGUACCUAAUCAGAAAGCCACGGCUAACUACGUG
rnacentral:rRNA from 1 species